AAAACAUGUCUUAUUGAAAAUAAUUUUAAGUCUAAUCUGCCCAAUGAAAAUUUUAAUGGCUGCAGUAUCAAUAACUGUACAAAGGUAGCAUAAUAAUUAGUUUUUUAAUUGAAAACUAGAAUGAAAGAUUAAAUGAAAUAUAAACUUUAUUAAUAAAAUUAAAAUUAAACUUAAAUUUUAAGUUAAAAUUCUUAAAUAUUAUUAAAAGACGAGAAGACCCUUUAGAAUUUUAUAUAAAUUAAAAUUAAAAUUAUAAAUAUUAAUAAUAUAAAUUUUAAUUAAUAUUUAAUUGGGGUAAUUUUUUAAUUUUAUAAACUUUAAAAUAAUAAAACAUUAAUUAAUGAACUUAUAAACCUAAAAUUUAGAAUUUUAAAAUAAAUUACCUUAGGGAUA
rnacentral:rRNA from 1 species